rnacentral:misc_RNA from 1 species
CGCUCCUUGGUUGAGAAUAAACCUUUGUCUAGAGACAGCAGUCUCACACAGGAUGAUAAGUAGCCAGCUUGAUCAUUUAGCAUCUUCUGACACUCAGCUAAAUUUGGCAGGACAUCAGCCAGUAACUCCUGCCAUCCUUCACCAGCAUAUAGUGCACAAACUUUCUCAUAUGACUUUGCAGCCAGAUCAAAGUUUCCAUGCCUGAAGCAAACUGCAGCUAUUUCACCAUCAAGGACCACUCCAUGUCUUUUCCACCAGGAAUGAUG